rnacentral:rRNA from 1 species
UACGAAGGGGGCUAGCGUUGCUCGGAAUCACUGGGCGUAAAGCGCACGUAGGCGGAUUGUUAAGUCAGGGGUGAAAUCCUGGAGCUCAACUCCAGAACUGCCUUCGAUACUGGGAGUCUCGAGUUCGGGAGAGGUGAGUGGAACUGCGAGUGUAGAGGUGAAAUUCGUAGAUAUUCGCAAGAACACCAGUGGCGAAGGCGGCUCACUGGCCCGAUACUGACGCUGAGGUGCGAAAGCGUGGGGAGCAAACAGG